AGCCUUGUGCAGAAGCGAUAUCGUAACCAAUGAGGUUCUACCGAGGUGCGAUUAUUGCUAGUUGAAAACUUUAAAAAUACGU